rnacentral:rRNA from 1 species
GGGGCUGGCGGGGUGCUUACCAUGCAAGUCGAACGAUGAACCUCUUCGGAGGGGAUUAGUGGCGAACGGGUGAGUAACACGUGGGCAAUCUGCCCUGCACUCUGGGACAAGCCCUGGAAACGGGGUCUAAUACCGGAUACGACCAUCUCGGGCAUCCGAUGGUGGUGGAAAGCUCCGGCGGUGCAGGAUGAGCCCGCGGCCUAUCAGCUUGUUGGUGGGGUGAUGGCCUACCAAGGCGACGACGGGUAGCCGGCCUGAGAGGGCGACCGGCCACACUGGGACUGAGACACGGCCCAGACUCCUACGGGAGGCAGCAGUGGGGAAUAUUGCACAAUGGGCGGAAGCCUGAUGCAGCGACGCCGCGUGAGGGAUGACGGCCUUCGGGUUGUAAACCUCUUUCAGCAGGGAAGAAGCGCAAGUGACGGUACCUGCAGAAGAAGCACCGGCUAACUACGUGCCAGCAGCCGCGGUAAUACGUAGGGUGCGAGCGUUGUCCGGAAUUAUUGGGCGUAAAGAGCUCGUAGGCGGCUUGUCGCGUCGGAUGUGAAAGCCCGGGGCUUAACCCCGGGUCUGCAUUCGAUACGGGCAGGCUAGAGUUCGGUAGGGGAGAUCGGAAUUCCUGGUGUAGCGGUGAAAUGCGCAGAUAUCAGGAGGAACACCGGUGGCGAAGGCGGAUCUCUGGGCCGAUACUGACGCUGAGGAGCGAAAGCGUGGGGAGCGAACAGGAUUAGAUACCCUGAUAGUCCACGCCGUAAACGUUGGGAACUAGGUGUGGGCGACAUUCCACGUCGUUCCGUGCCCGCAGCUAACGCAUUAAGUUUCCCCGCCUGAGAGUACGACCGCAAAGGACUAAAACCUCAAAGGGAAAUUUGAACGAGCGC